AAAAAACAAACACUUUCUACCAUAUUUACAAAAAAAAAAAAAACUUAUGAACCCUAGCCUCCUCUGCUAGGGUUCCAACAUUCAACCGCCACCGCCGUUCAACGGAUUCAAAGUCCCUUCAACCCCGAUCUGAUCAGAGCCAAUGGGGAGUCUCCGUCUCCUUCCCGCAGGUAAGUAUCCCUUUUCUCCCUUUUCGUAUAUUAUUUUCUUUUUGUAAUAGAAUGCGGAAAAAAAAUAAAUAAGAAAAGAAGCUGAAGCUCGAAAAAAAACUAUUAACCUUUUGAUUUUUUUGAUUGAUCUUUUCUAUUUGGUACUUUGUUUGCUAUGAAAGUAAUAGAUUUUUUUUAUUGAUUUUCGAUUUGGGGCCCCCUUUACAGUGUAUCAAUGGCCAUUUUUAUAGCCAAAGUAAAAUAAAAUCAUAGAAAGUAAAUCUAUUUUCUUUGAUUUGAUUUUCAAUCUAUUCUUUCCAUAUACUACUUUGUUUCGUGCAGGUGAAGAUCAUGUGGAGAUUCGGGGGCGAGGCUUGGCUUGCGGCGCUACCCUAGGGUUCCAUCUGCUCCCUGAGCUUUGAUUUGGGCUAAGGUCUGAUUUGGGCCUCUGUUUUGUUUGGACUUGGGCCAUAUAGGCCGAUCGUAAUUUGGGCCUUUUACCCGGGCCAAAAUCGGGUAUUACAAUCCAUGUUGGAAAAGUAGUCGUGUAAGGUGGUUCUUAUGGUGUGGGGUAGUUAAGUGAGGAGCGAUAGAGACGGGAAGUAAGGGAUGGGCAAUAAUGAGGAUUGGUGGUUUUAGUGGUAGAUCCUAGAAUUAAAUUUUGGAGGGUCUAGUAAAAUUUUCAAAACUUUUAGGAGUUAAUGAGAUUUUUUAAAAAAUUUGGAGUCUAAUUAAAAUUUUUGUGAGAUUAAUGAGAAAUUUCAAAAAUUUAAGGGUACUUAAUUAAAAUUUUCUAAAAAAUGUAACUGAAAAAUGAAAAAUUUCCAAAAUUUAGGCUACCACUACAAUUUGCCUUUGGGUGGUUUUUAUGGUGAGUGAUGAGUACUGAUGAUUGAUGAUUGAUGAUUCUUGUGUUGCAAAUAAACAAAAAAUAUUUUAAACUAAUUAUAGAGAGAUUCUUAGCUUUAGCCUAAAAUAAAAGAAUGAUAUGUCAGCAAUCUUAAUUAAAGUGAUUAAAUUAACAAAAAAAAUAAAUAAAAAUAAGUACAACCAAAGUUUAAAAUAACUUGGGAUAUAAUUUACCCUAAAUUUUAUAUAAAAAUUUUAAUAUUUUUACAAUUAAGUUUAAGUGUAUUGAAAACAGAUAAUAACAUAAACCUUAUACAGUUAUGCAAGUGAUCAGAUUUAAUUGAAUGUGACGCCACACUCUUCCAUUAUUAAUUUGUGACUAACUUUAGAAGGUUCACAUAAUAUGAUGUGUCCCUCUUAAAUAAUAUUAUAUAAGAAUAAUUUAUAUUAAGAUUGUUUUAAAAUAUAUUGUUUUUAAGUAUUAAUAAAAUAAUAUUAAUAAAAAUUAAAUUAAAUUAACA
rnacentral:lncRNA from 1 species